rnacentral:rRNA from 1 species
UACGGAGGGUGCGAGCGUUGUCCGGAAUCAUUGGGCGUAAAGGGCGCGUAGGUGGCGGGACAAGCGUGCGGUGAAAGCUCGGGGCUCAACCCCGCGUCGGCCGUGCGAACUGUUUUGCUUGAGCACUGUAGAGGCAGGCGGAAUUCCGGGUGUAGCGGUGGAAUGCGUAGAGAUCCGGAAGAACACCGGUGGCGAAGGCGGUCUGCUGGGCAGUUGCUGACACUGAGGCGCGACAGCGUGGGGAGCAACAGGG